GACGAACCGUGCAAACGUUGUUCGGAUUCACUGGGCUUAAAGGGCGCGUAGGCGGGUGGUCAAGUCAGGGGUGAAAUCUUUCAGCUUAACUGGAAAAUAGCUUCUGAUACUGGCCGUCUUGAGGGAGGUAGGGGCAUGUGGAACUUCCGGUGGAGCGGUGAAAUGCGUAGAUAUCGGAAGGAACGCCGGUGGCGAAAGCGAUGUGCUGGACCUUUUCUGACGCUGAGGCGCGAAAGCCAGGGGAGCAAACGGG
rnacentral:rRNA from 1 species